rnacentral:rRNA from 1 species
ACGAACGCUGGCGGCGUGCUUAACACAUGCAAGUCGAACGGAAAGGCCCUGCUUGCAGGGUCCUCGAGUGGCGAACGGGUGAGUAACACGUGGGUGAUCUGCCCUGCACUUCGGGAUAAGCCUGGGAAACUGGGUCUAAUACCGGAUAGGAGCCAUUUUUAGUGUGAUGGUUGGAAAGUUUUUUUCGGUGUAGGAUGAGCUCGCGGCCUAUCAGCUUGUUGGUGGGGUAAUGGCCUACCAAGGCGGCGACGGGUAGCCGGCCUGAGAGGGUGGACGGCCACAUUGGGACUGAGAUACGGCCCAGACUCCUACGGGAGGCAGCAGUGGGGAAUAUUGCACAAUGGGCGCAAGCCUGAUGCAGCGACGCCGCGUGGGGGAUGACGGCCUUCGGGUUGUAAACUCCUUUCGCUAGGGACGAAGCUUUUUGUGACGGUACCUAGAGAAGAAGCACCGGCUAACUACGUG